AGCGCGACCGGGUCCACCGCCCGGGCGGCCAUCAGGUAGUCGCGGAUCGCGAUGCCGUGCCGGCCCUC
rnacentral:sRNA from 2 species